rnacentral:misc_RNA from 1 species
ACCAUAACCAGUUAUAGCCUCAAAUAGACCUUCCCAGUCAUCACCGUAGUACAUCUUAAAUAGAAGGAUGGUUAUAAAUAAAACCAAAAGACCAUUUGCAGCAAGAAGGAAACCCAUCACAGCACCAGAUCUAAAUGCAACAAUAAAAGCCUUCCCAACACCUUUUCUAGCCUCCAAGGUAGUUCGGGCAUUUGCAUAUGUGGCAAUUUUCAUUCCAAGGAACCCGGACACCACAGAGGUAACAGCACCAAGCAGAAAUGAUACAGUGCUGAAGACAGCAGUUGCAAGAGCUGGCUUGCAAGUUUUGGUGCUGUCAUAUGUGCACGGCUGGUUCUUCGUGCUGAAUCCCUCAACAGAGCCG